CCCAGUUCGGAUUGUAGUCUGNAACCCGACUACAUGAAGCUGGAAUCGCUAGUAAUCGCAGGUCAGCAUACUGCGGUGAAUACGUUCCCGGGUCUUGUACACACCGCCCGUCACACCAUGGGAGCCGGAAAUGCCCGAAGCCAGUGACCCAACCUUAGGGAGGGAGCUGUCGAAGGUGGAGCCGGUAACUGGGGUGAAGUCGUAACAAGGUAAC
rnacentral:rRNA from 1 species